rnacentral:rRNA from 1 species
UACAGAGGUCGCAAGCGUUAAUCGGAUUUACUGGGCGUAAAGCGUGUGUAGGUGGUUGUACAAGUCGGUUGUGAAAUCCCCGGGCUCAACCUGGGAACUGCUUCCGAGACUGCACGACUAGAGAUCGGUAGAGGGCGGUGGAAUUUCCGGUGUAGCGGUGAAAUGCGCAGAUAUCAGGAGGAACACCGGUGGCGAAGGCGGAUCUCUGGGCCUUGCCUGACGCUGAGGUGCGAAAGCUAGGGGAGCGAACAGG